rnacentral:rRNA from 1 species
UGGGGAAUAUUGGACAAUGGGCGAAAGCCUGAUCCAGCAACGCCGCGUGAGGGAUGACGGCCUUCGGGUUGUAAACCUCUCUCAGCAGGGACGAAGCGCAAGUGACGGUACCUGCAGAAGAAGCACCGGCCAACUACGUGCCAGCAGCCGCGGUAAUACGUAGGGUGCAAGCGUUGUCCGGAAUUAUUGGGCGUAAAGGGCUCGUAGGCGGUUUGUCGCGUCGGGAGUGAAAACUCAGGGCUAACCCUGAGCCUGCUUCCGAUACGGGCAGACUAGAGGUAUGCAGGGGAGAAUGGAAUUCCUGGUGUAGCGGUGAAAUGCGCAGAUAUCAGGAGGAACACCGGUGGCGAAGGCGGUUCUCUGGGCAUUACCUGACGCUGAGGAG